UUAAACUUUAAUGGAAACUUCUAAUUUCUUCUAAGCGAUUAACGUUAAGUUUAAG
rnacentral:tRNA from 1 species